GGAGGGCUGGCAGAGCGGUCGAAUGCGGCGGUCUUGAAAACCGUUGUGGGGCAACCCACCGGGGGUUCGAAUCCCUCGCCCUCCGCCA
rnacentral:tRNA from 2 species